rnacentral:misc_RNA from 1 species
GAAAUGCGAUAAGUAAUGUGAAUUGCAGAAUUCCGUGAAUCAUCGAAUCUUUGAACGCACAUUGCGCCCUCUGGUAUUCCGGGGGGCAUGCCUAUCCGAGCGUCAUUGCGAACCCCUCAAGCACGGCUUGUGUGAUGGGCCCUCCCGCGUCUUGGUCGUCAAGACGGGCCCGAAAAGCAGUGGCGGCUUCGCGGUUAUCCGAUCAGCCAGAGCGUAUGGGGACUUUCUCUCUGUCACACACCCGCGGCGCGGACCGACGCCUGUCGACCUUUAUUCAUCUUUUUCUCGGUUGACCUCGGAUCAGGUAGGGAUACCCGCUGAACUUAAGC